rnacentral:rRNA from 1 species
CGGUAGUCACGUAGUUUGAUCAUGGCUCAGAACGACGCUGGCGGCAUGCCUAACACAUGCAAGUCGAACGAGACCUUCGGGUCUAGUGGCGCACGGGUGCGUAACGCGUGGGAACCUGCCUUUAGGUUCGGAAUAACUCAGAGAAAUUUGAGCUAAUACCGGAUAAUGUCUUCGGACCAAAGAUUUAUCGCCUUUAGAUGGGCCCGCGUUGGAUUAGCUAGUUGGUGGGGUAAAGGCCUACCAAGGCGACGAUCCAUAGCUGGUCUGAGAGGAUGAUCAGCCACACUGGGACUGAGACACGGCCCAGACUCCUACGGGAGGCAGCAGUGGGGAAUAUUGGACAAUGGGCGAAAGCCUGAUCCAGCAAUGCCGCGUGAGUGAUGAAGGCCUUAGGGUUGUAAAGCUCUUUUACCCGAGAUGAUAAUGACAGUAUCGGGAGAAUAAGCUCCGGCUAACUCCGUG